rnacentral:tRNA from 1 species
AAAAUCCGUCGACUUUAAAAAUCGUGAGGGUUCAAGUCCCUCUAUCCCCAAAAAGACUAUUUAACUCCCCAACUAUUUACCCGACCCC